AUCAACGCUGGCGGCGUGCCUAACACAUGCAAGUCGAACGCGAGGAUCCCGCAAGGGAUUAGUAGAGUGGCAAACGGGUGAGUAACACGUGGGUGACCUGCCUUCGAGCGGGGGAUAACAUCCCGAAAGGGAUGCUAAUACCGCAUGACAUCCUGCCUUUCAAGAGGUGGAGAUCAAAGCCGGGGAUCGCAAGACCUGGCACUCGAAGAGGGGCCCGCGUCCGAUUAGCUAGUUGGUGAGGGUAACGGCUCACCAAGGCGAAGAUCGGUAGCCGGCCUGAGAGGGCGGCACGGACACACUGGACUGAGACACGGUCCCAGACUCCUACGGGAGGCAGCAGUGGGGAAUUGUUGCACAAUGGGGAAAGCCUGCUGACGCAGCAACGCCGCGUGGAGGAUGAAGAUCCUUGGGUCGUAAACUCCUUUCGAUCGAGAGAACGGGAUAAUGACGGGAGUGACUGGUACGAGAGAAGAAGCACCGGCUAACUCUGUGCCAGCAGCCGCGGUAAUACGAGGGGGGCGAGCGUUGUUCGGAAUUAUUGGGCGUAAAGGGCUCGUAGGCGGCCCACUAAGUCAGACUUGUGAAAACUCCUGGCUCAACUCAGGAGCCUGCAGUCUGAUACUGGAUGGCUGGAGUAUGGGAGAGGGAUGCGGGAAUUCCCGGUGUAGCGGUGAAAUGCGUAGAUAUCUGGAGGAACACCGGUGGCGAAAGCGGCGACAUCUGGACCAAUACUGACGCUGAGUGCGCGAAAGCUAGGGGAGCAAACAGGAUUAGAUACCCUGGUAGUCCUAGGCCCUAAACGAUGAAUUGCUUGGUGUGGGGUAUCGAUACCCAUCCGAUCGUGCCGAAGCUAACGCGAUAAGCAUCCGCCUGGGGAGUACGGUCGCAAGACUGAAACUCAAAGGAGUUGACGGGGGCCCGCACAAGCGGUGGAGCAUGUGGUUCAAUUCGACGCAACGCGAAGAACCUUACCUGGGCUCGAAAUGUAGUGGAAUCGGGUAGAAAUAUCCGCGUCUCGCAAGAGACUGCUAUAUAGGUGCUGCAUGGCUGCCGUCAGCUCGUGUCGUGAGAUGUUGGGUUAAGUCCCGCAACGAGCGCAACCCUUAUCUUUAGUUGCCAUCAGGUCAAGCUGGGCACUCUAACGAAACCGCGUAGGAUAACUACGAGGAAGGUGGGGAUGACGUCAAGUCCUCAUGGCCUUUAUGUCCAGGGCUACACACGUGCUACAAUGGUCGGUACAAAACGUCGCAAACCCGCGAGGGGGAGCUAAUCGGAAAAAGCCGGCCUCAGUUCGGAUUGGAGUCUGCAAUUCGACUCCAUGAAGCUGGAAUCGCUAGUAAUCGCGGAUCAGAACGCCGCGGUGAAUACGUUCCCGGGCCUUGUACACACCGCCCGUCACAUCACGAAAGUGGACUGCACUAGAAGUCGGCGUGCUAACCGCAAGGAGGCAGCCGCCCAAGGUAUGGUUCAUGAUUGGGGUG
rnacentral:rRNA from 1 species